AGUGAACGCUGGCGGCAGGCCUAAUACAUGCAAGUCGAACGGCAGCACAGUGGAGCUUGCUCCAUGGGUGGCGAGUGGCGGACGGGUGAGGAAUACAUGGGAAUCUGCCCAGUCGUGGGGGAUAACGUAUGGAAACGUACGCUAAUACCGCAUGCGCCCUUCGGGGGAAAGUCGGGGACCGCAAGGCCUGACGCGAUUGGAUGAGCCCAUGUUCGAUUAGCUAGUUGGCGGGGUAACGGCCCACCAAGGCGACGAUCGAUAGCUGGUCUGAGAGGAUGAUCAGCCACACUGGAACUGAGACACGGUCCAGACUCCUACGGGAGGCAGCAGUAGGGAAUAUUGGACAAUGGGGGCAACCCUGAUCCAGCCAUGCCACGUGAGUGAAGAAGGCCCUCGGGUUGUAAAGCUCUUUGUUGGGGAAGAAAAGCAGUUGGUUAAUACCGAUUGUUCUGACGGUACCCAAAGAAUAAGACACCGGCUAACUCGUGCCAGCAGCCGCGGUAA
rnacentral:rRNA from 1 species